rnacentral:lncRNA from 1 species
CCCGCAUUUUCGUACAUAUAAUUGUUCAGAUUUGGACUUGGACAUCAUAUGAAAUUUACCGCAAAGAAAUCAAAAAGGACCAUGGUAGAUAAGUUUGGAAUGAUCUUCGUUAUGUGUAAGAAGUAGUAAUUUGGAAGGAAUAAUCAAAAUUGAGGAAUCGGUAAGAAAAGUAUGUAAUUGCAAUCUUUUUAUUUUCAAAAUAACUUGGUAUUCCAAAUGUGCAUAACCAAUGAUAAAUUAUCUGCAACAUAUGAAUGAUUCGAUCCAGACUGAACACCUGAAUUUUUUAAUUGUCCAGCUAUUAUGUUACAAUCUGAAGAAAUGUCG